UGCGGUUUCACAGAGCCAACAUUAUUCUCUACCUCCCCUUCCUCUUCCUCUUUCUUUAUGGAUGGCAAACAGCGUUCAGAUGACAGAUUUUGGAAAAUUGUCUUAGGAGACGCAUUCUCAGGCAGUUCCAGUGUAUUGGUAUUUUGGAUGUUUCUCUGCAUUUUGUCAUACGGUUCAGAAGGGUGAUAGGCUUUCUGUGAACUGCUGGGCUUCAAGAAGGCUAUUAUCUUCCACUCAGGUUUAAUGGAGGAAUUUAUGGGAUUUUGCCACCUUGUGAGGUUCAGUGCUAGAAUUUCUGCGUUGGAUGGAUCAAGAAUCUACGGGGAGCCAAGUCACUUAAAAGUAUCAGUUAUUCCCAAUAUUCCCUUCAUCUAAUGAAGUUCCUCCAAAUUUCAUGAUCCUUGUGACAAUCCACCCCAGACUAUGGUGAGAGACCCAGAGCUGCAGCAGUUUUGGUUGUGGUUAUUCUGACAUUGACCCGAAGGGAGCAAGAAUGUUUCUCAGGAGCCCUUGCCUGGACUCCCCUUCCAGACCACAACUUCCCCGGUGAUAUGGGACCCUGGAGGAGGAAGUCUACAAUGUGGGAGAGAUGAGUUACCAGGAAGAUAACCUUUGCACUCAGAAGGCUUGCGAACCCCAGAGGAGACUGUCUGUCUGAGAGAUCACCUUACCCACACUGUGGAAUAAAAAUAUUGCCUCUGACAUUAGGGAACUGGCAUUCCCCUCCUCCACUGUUUGAAAAGGUCAGAACUGGUCCUUCAAGCCAAAUAAGUUACUGCUUUUGAGGUGAAGCUGGUAAGACAGAUCUGGGGCCUGCAGGCAAAGUGGGUUCAGUUUCCGUUUGUAGUCAAGGCAACUUCUUCCAAAAGAGGCUUUCAACCUGCCUGGGCUUCUAGGCCCAGUUGAGAUCCAGUGUGACUCACAGGUUAUAACUAGUGGACCUUCCAUCCUCACGGAGCCUUGGCUACACCUACCACUUGGCCUGGGUCAGAAAUAAAACAAAAACUAAAACGAACAAACAAACAAACUUAAAAACAUAAAGGUAGAGAAAGAAAGAAAACCACCUCAGUUUGAAUCUGGGGUUGUCAUGUCUAGCUGUAUGACGUUGAGCAAGUCACUCGACUUCUCUGAGCCUCAGUUUCCACAGAUUAUAGGGCUGAGUGAGAUGAGGUUGUGACGGUGUUUGCACACUACAUUGGACAAGGGGCUGAGCAUCAUCAUAUGGCCAAAAGCCUGACAAACAACACUGGUCCCCACACAAGCAACUCUGGUCCCUCCUGAACCCACACCAAGCCAAGUGUUC
rnacentral:lncRNA from 1 species